rnacentral:misc_RNA from 1 species
UCGAUUCCAAUGGACGAUCUUUCAGAUAUACAACUGCUCUUUUGAAGGACUAUCUGUACGAUCCGAGUAGGGCUCACUAAUUUUUACUGCCUUCGGAUUAUCAAACAUCGUAGAUUCAAAUAUAUACUUUUACAUUAUUUUGAGAUGUUAUUUUAUCUGUAUGUUUGUUUGAUUUAGACUAUUUGUUCUGCUCUUGUAGAAUGGGUGAACAUGUUUAAUAUGG